GCUCCGGCCCCGGCUCUUUCCGGUCUCUGGCAAACGCUUUCCGGGCUGAGAGCCUCACUAAAACCCGGAAAAGCGGAUUCUCGGCAGCGCCGGAGCCAAGCACAGCACUGCGCAUGCUCUGUCUCCAGGCGCGGUGCGCCAAGUUGCCAGGACCGGCUGCGGCGGCUGCGUGUGGCUCGGCCUCUGGGGCCAGCUGGUGGCGGCGGCCUAGGGAGGCUCAGCGGCUGGGGGGCAGAUUCUAGGAGCAAGAGAUUGAGCCAUUGUUGUAGGGGGAGAAAAGCAGAAAAAAGAGCCCUGCAUCUCCCACCUAAGACUCUUGUCCUCAGUAAGUAGAGACUUCUAGCCAGUGGCCCAGGAUAGCUCCUCUCUAAGUUCCUGGUCACAGCUUUUGUGAGGCAGAGACAGUGAAAAUACCUCAUCCUCAUCGGACCCUGUUUAAGAUGAAUGUGAACCCUUGAGGAGCUCCUAGAUCGCUAGCACGUUAGUUCUCAAACUUGAGCCUGCCUCAGAAUCACCUGGAGGGGAUGAAAACACAGACUCCAGCCCUCCCCACUGCACUGGAGUUUCCGAUUGUGUAGGUGUGGAGUGGGGCCUCAGAACAGCAUUUCUAACAGCCUCUCCGGUGACGAUGAUGAUGAUGAUGCUGGUCCAAAGACUCUCGCCUAAGAACCAGUGUCCUAAUGUAAUGGGUCACUGAUUGUGGAGGGUCAGUAAUACUGCACUUAGGAUCUUAAGUUCAAAGUUUUCUCUCGUAUUAGCCAGGUGGAAGAAAGAGGAACUUUUCUGAUGUUCAAAGACUCAUCAAUUCCUACUUUGUCCCUUAAAAUGGGAACCUCCUCUCUUUGGGAAGACCAGUACAGGGAAGAGACCUUCUACCACCCCCUCCAAUCCUUUUCUUAUUUGCCCCAGCUCAAGUACUCUGUGAGAUAGGAAAUGGGCAGUGAGAAAUCAGAGCUCAGGAUGGCUCCCAACUUUCUCUCUCCCAACUUGGUUUUUUCUCUCAGAUUUGUCUGCUCCAAGCUACAAACCUCC
rnacentral:lncRNA from 1 species